GGAUUAGAUACCCUGGUAGUCCAUGCCGUAAACGAUGUGUGUUAGACGUUGGAAAUUUAUUUUCAGUGUCGCAGCGAAAGCGAUAAACACACCGCCUGGGGAGUACGACCGCAAGGUUAAAACUCAAAUGAAUUGACGGGGACCCGCACAAGUAGUGGAGCAUGUGGUUUAAUUCGAAGAUACGCGCAGAACCUUACCAACACUUGACAUGUUCGUCGCGACUUUAAGAGAUUAAAGUUUUCGGUUCGGCCGGACGAAACACAGGUGCUGCAUGGCUGUCGUCAGCUCGUGCCG
rnacentral:rRNA from 1 species